GAUGAAGAACGUAGUGAAAUGCGAUAAGUAAUGUGAAUUGCAGAAUUCAGUGAAUCAUCGAAUCUUUGAACGCACAUUGCGCCCGCCAGUAUUCUGGCGGGCAUGCCUGUUCGAGCGUCAUUUCAACCAUCAAGCCCCAGGCUUGUGUUGGAGCCCUGCGGCUGCCGCAGCCUCCCAAAACCAGUGGCGGGCUCGCUAUCACACCGAGUGCAGUAGUUUACUCUUCGCUCAGGGCGUGUGGCGGGUGCUAGCCGUAAAACCCCCAACUUCUCAAGGUUGACCUCGGAUCAGGUAGGAAUACCCCCUGAACUUAAGCAUAUCAAUAAGCGGAGGA
rnacentral:misc_RNA from 1 species